rnacentral:rRNA from 1 species
GACAGAGGGUGCAAACGUUGUUCGGAAUUACUGGGCGUAAAGCGCGUGUAGGCGGCCCUGCAAGUCGGGUGUGAAAUCCCACGGCUCAACCGUGGAAGUGCACUCGAAACUGCAGGGCUAGAGUCCUGGAGAGGAAGGUGGAAUGCUUGGUGUAGAGGUGAAAUUCGUAGAUAUCAAGCGGAACACCGGUGGCGAAGGCAGCCCCCUGGGCUAACACUGACGCUCAGGCACGAAAGCGUGGGGAGCAAACAGG